rnacentral:rRNA from 1 species
AAGUCUGGUGCCAGCAGCCGCGGUAAUUCCAGCUCCAAUAGCGUAUAUUAAAAUUGUUGCGGUUAAAACGCUCGUAGUUGGAUAUCUGUGAGCGGGUUUCGGUCCUUCCCAGUGAAGAUUACACGGAACUCUGCUCGCAUUUGUUCAGGGAGGGUGGAUGCACUUCACUGUGUGACCACAUGAUCUGAAUUUUUACUUUGAGGAAAUGAGAGUGUUCCAAGCAGGCAAUCGCCGUGAAUAUGAUAGCACGGAAUAAUAGCACAGGACUCUUGGUUCAAUGCUGUUGGUUUGUUGAACUAGAGUAAUCACAAUA